ACCACCCAGAAACUCUGUGAGAAGUUAGAGAAAAGCUCCUUUAGCGACUUUUGCCUGGAGAUGAAUGAUGAAUCUCUGGUGGACCUCGAGGUGGAUUUGUCUGAAGAAGACAUACAAAGGAUGCUUCAUCACAUUAAUCAGCUCAAUGAAAUCAGGAGGAACCAGAGCUUCCGUUUGGUGUUCUUGUUUCAGGAC